UAUGUGCUCAUUUAUGGGUAAACAUAUAUUUGUCUUUUUUUCUAGAGCAUAACUGGACACUUUGUCAGUAGUGUUGAGAAUCAGGCAACAGUGAGCUGUUCUUUAGAGAGUAACAGAUUUAUUUUAUGUUACCGGCUGUGUGAUGGAGGAGUUCCUCUGAAGGUUAUUUUAUGGUCAUUUGAGUUUUGUUAAUUAAAUCCCUUUAAUCCAGGAGUUUUAUUAUUGUUGUGUAUCAAACUCAUUGUCCUCAUUGUCAAACUGUUUUGCCCCAUCAAAUACCUGUCUCACUCAGAGGCAGACUCCCUGCCCCAGAUAGCCUCGCCAUGGGGUCGAUGUGGGCGUGGCUGUAAUCAGCCAAUCAGAGACUGUUGCUAACACGUCACGCCUCCAGCUUCCAGAUCUUCUCCAAUGUUUGGGUUCCACCCGGUGAGGGUGUCAUCUCCCAAAUGAUUCCUCAGAUCCCCACUCACAUAUGUGUGUCUGCUCAUGUUUAUGAUUCACACGAGUGAGCUCAUUUUGUUCAGUUUUGUCUGGUUCUGUGGACCACACUUUUUAAAAGGUUAUUUUAAAUAGUUUCUUUAUCAAUUUCAAAUCUUACUUUCCAUCAGAGACUGUGAUGCUGUCGGCUGAAGUAAAAACAGACACAGAAAUGUUGCCAGCAUGUGAGUGUGAGAAUAUUUUGGGGUUCAGGACUAAUGGAUGUAAUUUGUUUGUUCAGGCGGCCAUGUGGAGCUGGAUGAAAAGUCAGCGUAUCUGCACAUGUUGUCCAGAGGACUGCCUAAGAGACAUCACAUCGUGACGUACAUACUACCGAAGAGCUCUCAAUCACACCUGCAGCUUCAGACUUGUUUGCACCCUGAUCCUGCUGAAGACAGUGUGUGUGUGUGGGUUGAUGCAAGUCUGCUGUAGACGUGUGACGGAGGUCUCUUGGUGAGGACAUUGAACGAAUCAGCACUGGAACCAAAUUUGCCUUAGAACUGUGGUUGAAAACACAGGAGCCUCAUGCUGAGAUGGGCUGAUGACUUCUCUCUGCCUGCUUCUGUUUAUGUAUAUGUUACCAUUUAACCAUUGCCUUGAGGAAGACUGCACCACCUACUGGACUGGAGCUAUUUCAGCCCAGCACUUUGUUCUGGCACAACAUUGAAAUCAAAAUGUUGUCAAAAAAGCCAUAGAAUAAGAGCUGGCAAAUUAAAGUUAAUCUAAUGCGGUGAUUUAUAAUUUAACCUACUUUCU